UACGAAGGGGGCUAGCGUUGUUCGGAAUUACUGGGCGUAAAGGGCGCGUAGGCGGCCUCGUCCGUCCGGCGUGAAAUGCCUGGGCUUAACCUAGGAAUUGCGCUCGAUACAGCGAGGCUUGAGUGUGGAAGAGGGUCGUGGAAUUCCCAGUGUAGAGGUGAAAUUCGUAGAUAUUGGGAAGAACACCGGUGGCGAAGGCGGCGACCUGGUCCAUUACUGACGCUGAGGCGCGAAAGCGUGGGGAGCAAACAGG
rnacentral:rRNA from 1 species